AAUACCUUCUUUGCUCCAAGCUGCACUCUGGCUUUGCCUUUGAGUCAGGUGGCAUGUCUUUGCACGAUGACUGGUUCUAUUGAGUAGGCACUGCUUCAGCCCUACAGGAAGAACAAAACCUCUCUGGAACACAGCAGCAUUCCUGAUUCCCACUUGAGGAGGCCUAACAAAACGGCAUAUGCCUCAACAGCAGCAGAUCAGUGUUAAAAAGUCUGGAGUCAAGGGGAAAAAGUAAAAUUGGACCAUUUCCAAAAUCUCACAAAAAGCAACAAACUGACGUUCUAAGUGCCCAACAUGAGCAAAUUAGAACCUUAAAUAAAGGUCACUCUUAAUGCCUAUCCCAGCAUAGAUGCAGCACCAAGUACAGUGUCAUUUUACUGGUUUACCUUUUUCAUUCUUGAAAGUAGGAGCUAUGAAAAAAAACACUAAAAUUUCUCUAAGAGAACCUUCUACUUUCUGUCUAACUUACAUAAUCAAAACACUGUAUUGAGGGUGAAAAUUGAAUAUUAUAAGAAAAUAAUCACGUGUUUUGCGAGAAGUUGCAAAUAUAAUGCUCCUCCACCCAAUACCUACCUUAAAAAGAAAAAAGGAAACAUACAAAAUUAUCUCGAGAAUUAUUCCUGCUUAAACAAUGUCUACGUGCCAUUACUAAGUAUGCACACAGUAAAGAUGAGAAGAGGACAUGCAAGCGUGAACAUACUUGUUAGGGAUAUAGGACUAUGGGUAAUUUAAACAUUUUAAUGGUAUUACUCUCAUGUAAUUGCUCUGAAAUUCUAGUCAGUUGUUUGAAAUGGCUCUUAGAACAGAAUACUUUGACAUUUUUAUGAUGUCAAAAACUAAGAACUUAGCCCUAAAUAUUCCAAAGAAUAGGUGCAGAAGAACCCGUUUCCUUAAACGGCAUUUGAGUAUUCUUCACAACUCAAACUUUCUCUCCCAUCCUGUGAUGGCCGAGAGUUUUUCCUCUGACGAUGGCACUGACCUUACCCUAUCCAAAAUAUGAACAUCUGCAUGGUUUCCUGGUUCAAAUUGCUUUUAUCCAUUCUGUCGUGAGAAUCAAAUGGUUCAGACCAUGCAGCACCUCUCUGGGACUUCUCAAGUCCUUUCUAGAUCUGAAGACUAUUCUCUGAACCAAAGACAACUUCUGGGGGUGUACCAAAUCUCCCAUUAGAAAAUUAUUAAGAUCAAGAUGUUUUAACCUUUUAACUCUUUCUCAAACAAAAUAAAUUCGUUUCUCCUUUACCGUUAUUUUAAAUUUCAAAAUACACAGAUAGUAUGUCUAAAAUAAAAUCAAGAGAAUGACAGUUUUAGAACACAAACUGUGGUAAUUUUGAAAACACAAAAGCUGAGACCACUAAUUAGGUCUAUGUGGACACCAAGUCCACCACAACCUGUUCUGUCCUCCGGGGCUCUGCCCACGCCUUUCCCUUGCCUGAGAUUCCUUCUGCUUCCUACCCUUCCAAAUGCUGUAUUUCCCCCUGGAAGACUUGCCAAGACCACUCUAACAUGCACAUCUCCCAUUCCAGCUAACCAAAGGCAUCCUUGGGUUGACUAAACCAAAUUAUUUUGCAGACAAGGCAUCUAAACACUUCCACUGUAGACUAUUCACCUUAAUAAUUGAUAUUGUGACAUUAUUCAAUAAUAAAAUGAGGGAAAGAAGUCCUCUUCAAUCCCUUAUCCUGGAGAACCCAAGCAAGUGUCUUUCCCACUUGCUUUGCCCAAACCCUGGGACCUUUCUAAGUAAAAGUUUAAUGGAAGGGAAAGAAAAUCUAAAAGAAAAACUCUCCAAGAAAUUAAACUCGGGCAAAGAUUCAUGGGAUUAAAAAUUUUUAUUCUUUGUGUAUCUGAUUUCCGAAACACAGAAAUCUCUCUCCCACUCCUUAAACCUACCACUGGGCUAAGAGAGUAUUGUACAGAAUAUGCACUCACUGACUUAACAGAAUUAGAACAUCCAGGCACUCACUGAGAUUUUGCUUCCACAACCGCUCAAAGUCUAGUCAUUAGUUCAUGAGUUAACACCACACUUGACCUUCAAAUUUUGGAAAUGCUGACGGUAGACAGGGACUUGUUUUGGGAAAGGAAGUACACAGUAGACAUUGUUACCCAUGACCCAACCACCACCACCUUUCCUUUAAAGAACCCCACUCUUCCUUUAAGGUUGCAGAGUCUCAGAAAGUGGGAAGAAAGGAAGUUUUUGCAUUUUCAGGUCAAAACGAAGUACAUUUGUGCAACCACAUAAUGCCCAUGCAAAGGUUUCUUGAAAUCUAAACACAAGACAGAAGUAGUUCUAGCACCUCCACAAAAAGUAAGGUGUUUUUCACAGGGCCAGUGGAUUUCACAAUGUGAGUGCUGUCCAGCACCAAAGGG
rnacentral:lncRNA from 1 species